GUCUACAGCCAUGCCACCCUGAACAAGCCCGAUGUCUGAUCUCAGAAGCUAAGCAGGGUCGGAACUGGUUAGUACUUGGAUGGGAGACCACCUAGAAAAGACCAGGUGCUGUAGGCA
rnacentral:rRNA from 1 species